rnacentral:misc_RNA from 1 species
CAGUAGACGGUGGCUUUCGCGAACCCCGCUUCAAGCAGCAACUCGCGGAUCUCCGGUGCCGACCACAAACGCCAUUCGUAGCUGAACGCCUUCUUCAGUUUGGAACCGUCCGGAAACCGGAAAUGAAUGUGGCAGCGGACGUAGUUCGUCACCGGAUGAAACUUCGCCUGGUGCCAGACGUAGGUGAAAUUCUCGUACUUGGUCUUUUCCUUUGUUUCUUCCUGCGCUUCGGGGCCACCGUACAUGUCGAGAAACAAUAUGCCGUCUUCCUUCAGAGCUUCGUACGACUUGCGGAAGUAGGCGCGCAGUUUGUC